GGACACCUGGUGCUGCUCACAGGCUGUAUUCCUUUCACAGACAACAGGAAGAGGAGGCACACAGUAAAGCCACCCUUUAGACACCUCAGCUCUGCCCCUUUGCCUGGUCUGUAGUGUGAAUGGGCAGAUGUGG
ensembl:snoRNA